ACACAGUGGCACUCAGUAAUUCAGUUUUUCCUUCUCAAUGAACUAAUUUUUGUGUUUUCAAAGCAAUCCUGCAGUGAGAAACUCCACCUCAGAUACUGCUUGCUCUUAAUAGCACCCGAGCGACAAGGAACUGGAGCCUAUGCGGCAGCGUGCAAGAGGAAGGAAGCAUCGCAGGGAUGGGAAGAGGAAGGGCGUGUGCAGAAGAGAGAGCAAUGUGCGCAUGUGCGGAGGAUUCAGUAUCAAUCCAGGGAGCAGGGACCGCCUCAGCCAGUCAGGGACAGCCCCCUGGAACUGAAGGAAGAUCCACACAGACUGGAUGGACAGAUGCACAAAAGUAGACCAAGAAAAGGGCGGGGGAAACCCACCUCAACCUCGAUGAAAUCUGCACACACCGGAGCACAGUCUGAGGACUGGCGGCAGACAAUACGCAGUCUAGGUCCCAGGGAAGAUGGGAAUCCCUCCCGAGAAACCCCUGCUACUGCUCCGCAGAUGCUCAUGGACUUUGAUGGCCCGCAGGACCUGCCACUGGGAGAGUCUGGAACCAAGGGAAACCCUGACUCAGCAGCCCAUCUACCGGUACAGCACCUGCACAGAGCCAUCUAGUCUCAAAGUCACACUGAGUCAAAUCCCCAAGGCAGGAAAUCACAUCUACUGAGAAAGAUUUCAGGAGGCGAGCCAACCGGGUGUGAUGGUGUUUCUCAUCCCCAUUCCCAGUGCAGACCUGGGAGCUGCGACUGAGUUGGCCAAUGACGCAUCUGUGACAAAAUGCCACACUAGCAUGCAUGGCGAGGUUAUUCUCUAGGUUAGAAAGCAUAAGAAAAAAAGUUCAUUGUGGACAGCAGGACAGGUACAGAAAUAGUUUGAUUCUAAACUGAGUUGUAUUGAAAGGCAGUUAAGGAAGGAGCCACAGGUCCAUUUUAAAUUAUAUCCAACCUCACUGCAGGGGAAAAAAUAGCUAGGUAACUAUACAGGGGCCUGCCCUCAAGUGAAUGAAACCUCAUUGCUGAUAAGAUUUCCCUCGUGCCUGUCACCUCCCCAGAGCAGAAUCCCCAAGGAGGCAAGUCUGAGACCAAUUUAUGAAGGUUUAGGAUUGCUAAAAGAAAGCUUCUAACUUUUCUUCCCAUUAUGCUACAAAUGCUGUAAGGUCAGCUGCUAUGCCCAAAUCAUUUUUUAUUUCCUCCAUACCACUUAUGAGCAUCUUAUUUGCACAUACUACUUAUGUGGUUAAAACCAAACAAACAUCUUUUACCCAUUAGGCAAACUCACAACACAAACCCAAAGAGAGCUAUUAUGAUGGAUUUCUUCAGAAUGACAUGGUCCCUUAAAAGCUGUACAGGAAACCCAUUAUUUGUGCAAGACAGACAUUCACAACAGGAAAUCCGAGUAAGUUGGCAGAUAAAGAAAAUUCUUUAGUCUAAAUGAAUCUGGGGUAUGAACAAGAGACAUUAAACUCGGUAGCUUUUGCUUCUGAUACAACCCUCAGCAUUAUCGGUAAACAGGCAACAACAGGAUGUAUCAGCAACUUCAUUCUCACCUUCAAAAAGCACCAAAAGCAGGGCAUGGUGGUGCAUGCCAGUAAUCCCAGCCACUUAGGAGGCGGAGGCAGGAAGAUUAAGAGUUUGAGGCCAGCCGCAGCAAUUUAACAAACUUUGUUUCAAAAUAAAAAGGGCUUGGGAUGUAGCUCAGUGGUAAAGCACCAGUGGGUUCAAUCCCCAAUAACACACCACCGAAAAAAAGUUCCACUGCUAGACACUGAGGCCACCAGAGACUGAGUUGUGUCUCUGUGAUGCAGAGCACUCUUCUCAUUGAUUCUAUGUUUAUGGCAAGGAGGUAGAGUGAAGAGAAAACUAACAUUGUUGAGCAUAUGCUGUACAUUGCAUGUGGUGCUUGACAUCUCAUCCAUCAAUCCUCACCCCAAAAUGAGGUGGAAAUCACCCCAUUUCUCAGAUACAUAAACUGCCCACAAGGCUAAGUAAAUGCGAAAACUAGGAUCAAAACCAUGUUCAGGAUCUUCUGGGUAUAUUCCCUUAACCCUAUAGCUAUAGCUAACCUUGCAACCAGAACAAUCUAUUUGAAAUAAAUUUCCUACCAUUUCCCUGCCUGAAGAUCCUGCAAUAACUCUCCAUCACACUUGCAAUAAAUAACCUGACUCUGGUGUCCACAGCAUAUGGUAAACAUUGUUCCUCUUUUGCAUCUCCUUCCCACCACCCAGGAACUCAUAAAACUGCUUUGCAUUUCCCAUUGGCACCUGUCACACUUCCUUGCCGUCAUGGCUGAUUGUCUUUCUCCUCCACUUUACAGAAAGGGGCACCAGGGUGAUAAGCAGGUCUGCUUCGUGCCCUGUGGCCUCAGCUGCACAUCCACAUGGCAAGCAUCUGCCCUGGUUAGAGACACCCACCUCUCUGCUGCUGGAAGUGCCCCCCAAGCAGAGGCUGGGUAACACACAUCCUGGUUUCUCUCGGGUUGGGUCUGGCUAAGUUCUUGGUGUGCAGGGGAGGAUAAUGUUUACUGAAUAAAUAAACACAUGCAGGGCCGGGGAUUUAGCUCAGUGGUUUCACCGCCUGCUACCCAAGCGCAAGGACCCGAGUUCGAUCCCCGGUACCAAAAAAAAAAAAUAAAUAAACACAUGCAUUAAAAUAAUCUCCAAAUUGCACACCAAAAGAAUGUCCUUACAUGGCCAUUUAUGACAGGUCACACAUGAAGGGUGGCCUUUUUUAUAAUUAGGGACAUUUAUUUCACCGCUGCAGAAAAGAGAUUGGUUUAUUUUGGCUAACCACCAACUUCAACGUCUUUUUAUUAAGGAUGUGUUUAUUGGUUUGUUCUUGGGCUUAUGCAAUAGCUCUCAGAGCAGCAGGUCAUCAAUUGGUGAAGACAGUUCCCCACUCUGGGCCUCAGUAGGCCUGUGCCACAUGAACACAAUGGACUUCGAAUCCUCUGGGCUAUCUUGGGGUGGGGUGGGGUUACCAUUCAGAGAAGAAAGGAUUCGCACCUCAGGGCAUGUGCACAUGAAGCUCCUUCUAACAGGGCCACCUACCCCAGGGCACCACCUCUAUCUCUACCGCACCCUUCUGUCACUUGUUAUGUUACUAGGCUUCGGUUUCUUCACAGUGCCUUUCAGCAUUUCAAAUCAUCUCAUUUCUCAUUUGCUUACAUAACUACAGAUCUUCUCCCCUGUACCUAGUAGUUAUAAGACCUAUUCCCAAUGCCUAAAACAUUAUCUGGUAUUGUUACCUAAUAAAUGUCUGCUAAAUGAAUGAAAUCCCUGGCUCAUAUUGGAAACAAUAAUGAUGUUUCCCUACUCCACUCUUUGGGGUUUAUUUGAACAUCAGUCUAACCUACAGGCAGUGCUGUGGUUUGUUUGGUGUUUUUUUUUUUUAACAAAUGUU
rnacentral:lncRNA from 1 species